rnacentral:lncRNA from 1 species
GGGGUUCGCGGGUCUAAAUCAUUUAUAUAGGAUUUCUCUAUAUUUUUCUAUAAAUGAACUUUAUCUUUAAGUGAAUAGAAAAAUAAAAUAAAAAAGUGGGGUCACCGUUCAUUUGCGCUCACAAUCUAUCUUCGAAAGAAGCAUACAUUUUUGUAAAGGUGGUUUUUUUCUGUUGAAGUAAUAGGAGAAAUAAAAGUAAUAUCGAAAUAAAAAAAAGAAAUUUAUUACAGAAAUCGCUAAAAUUUUACAAUAAUUUAGCUUAAGUACAGCUUAUAUGGAAAUUAUAUUAAAAAAGAUAGGUCACCG